CUCAAAUGAAUUGACGGGGGCCCGCACAAGCGGUGGAGCAUGUGGUUUAAUUCGAAGCAACGCGAAGAACCUUACCAGGUCUUGACAUACUCGUGCUAUUCCUAGAGAUAGGAAGUUCCUUCGGGACACGGGAUACAGGUGGUGCAUGGUUGUCGUCAGCUCGUGUCGUGAGAUGUUGGGUUAAGUCCCGCAACGAGCGCAACCCUUAUUGUUAGUUGCCAUCAUUAAGUUGGGCACUCUAGCGAGACUGCCGGUAAUAAACCGGAGGAAGGUGGGGAUGACGUCAAAUCAUCAUGCCCCUUAUGACCUGGGCUACACACGUGCUACAAUGGUUGGUACAACGAGUCGCAAGACAGUGAUGUCAAGCUAAUCUCUUAAAGCCAAUCUCAGUUCGGAUUGUAGGCUGCAACUCGCCUACAUGAAGUCGGAAUCGCUAGUAAUCGCGGAUCAGCACGCCGCGGUGAAUACGUUCCCGGGCCUUGUACACACCGCCCGUCACACCACGAGAGUUUGUAAUACCCAAAGCCGGUGAGCUAACCUUUUAGGAGGCAGCCGUCUAAGGUAGGAUAGAUGAUUGGGGUGAAGUCGUAACAAGGUAGC
rnacentral:rRNA from 1 species